CUCUCUCUCCCCAAUAUUGUAUGACCUAGUUCCCCACCUCCAUAAAUGAAGAAAAACCACACAACUUUUGCUCUGAUUGAUACCGCGAGCACCCUUCCACCGAUGAAUCCGACCACAAUCUAUCUCCCUCUCUCAUCUCUAUCUUUCCACAUCUAGACAAAAGGGAAGUGGGUCUCACUUGCAUUUGCCACUGGGUGGGAGACAAGAUUAUGUAUCUCGUCCUUCUUCAUUAAUCCUUACUCUAUAUAUCCAUGGAUACGUCCCCUUGUUGCUUUCAGAAGCUAGGGUUUGUAUUCCACCAAACUUCACUUGCUAAUUUUGCAGAUGUUCUCUUCAACCAACAAUGCAUACCUUUGCCCACGCCUCUCUCCUCCUCCUCCCUUUCUCGGCGCUGAUGCCACCGAUUUCUUCCUCCAGUACCACUCGGAUCUACUCCUGACCGAUACCCUUUUCGGCAUGGUGGUUUCGAGCAAGUCUCCGGCGAGAAACCAAGAAGCCAGCGAACCCGUCGAACAAAGUUUUGGUCCGAAGAGCGUGCCGCCGAAGAGGAAGAAGGCCGCGAAGAAGCACAAGCACAGCAAGAUUUCCACGGCUCAAGGGCUGAGGGAUCGGAGAGUGAGGCUGUCGAUUGAGACGGCUCGCAAGUUCUUCGAUCUCCAGGACAUGCUAGGGUUCGAGAAAGCAAGCAAAACCAUUGAUUGGUUGCUAAAGAACUCAAAUACAGAGAUCAAGGACCUGCUGAACAAGGCGAAGGAUGGCUCAAGUGGUGGUGCAAAGAGGAGUACUCUGACUUCUACUGCCCCUGGAUGUGAAGUGGCAUCAGCAGGAGCCUUUGAGGGUACCAAGAUGAAGGAACUGGAGAUCAAUACUGGUGGCAAGGGCAAAAAGGUCAAGUUACAGAGAGAUAGGGCUGCAUUUGAUGAGAGAUAUCUUGCUUCAAGACAGUCUAGGGCAAGGGCAAGAGAGAGAGCCAGGGAAAGAACAAGAGAGAAGAAGAUCUUGAGAUCCAAUUUGAAGGGAUCUCCAAUUUCCAGUGAUGAGCAAAAAAAGAUUUUAGAAGAUAAUUUCGAGUUUGUACCAAGCUUUGGAAGGCCUGCAACAUCUACAGCCAAUGGUAACAUAGUUUAAGGGUUUUUCCCCUUCUCUUUGGCUUCUCCUUUAUCAUCGAGAUGCCGUUUUCAAGUCUCGAUAAAGGCGGCGGCGGUGGUGAUGGUCUUUUGAUGAAGCAAGGCAGAGGAAGUGGUGGUUCGAUCAGAUCGGUUGGAUUCACUAACCAUCACUGUGUAGUCUUGCCCAUGAAAGUUGCCAUCGAAGACAUUCCCUGCGAGAUUGAUCUGUUAGGAGUCAUGAUUUUCUUUUUAUUCAUAGAUUGGCAAAUGUAGUUGCAUAUACUUUGGCAACUUCGGGUUUGCAAGAUUCUGAUAUUCAUAUUUGGUAAGCUAGGCCUCCUUAUUUGUUAUUGAAUCCUUUGUGGAACAAUAACCGUCUUCUUUGA